GCCUCUGUGGAUUAUGGAAAUCAUCUCAGUUGAGUAGGGCCCUUACAUUCAGUGUUCAAUGAGAAGAAGUGGGUUCAAUUCUCACCAGAGGCA